rnacentral:rRNA from 1 species
UACGAAGGGGGCUAGCGUUGCUCGGAAUCAUUGGGCGUAAAGGGUGCGUAGGCGGCGCGGUAAGUCGGGUGUGAAAUCUCGGGGCUUAACUCCGAAACUGCAUUCGAUACUGCCGUGCUUGAGGACUGGAGAGGAGACUGGAAUUUACGGUGUAGCGGUGAAAUGCGUAGAUAUCGUAAGGAAGACCAGUGGCGAAGGCGGGUCUCUGGACAGUUCCUGACGCUGAGGCACGAAGGCCAGGGGAGCAAACGGG